UGUAGGCAGGGAAAACCUUUCCAAAAAUCUAAAAAAAAAAAAAAAAGCUGAGAAAGGGAAGUGAGUGGAGCCGAUCGAGGGAAUGGAGAGUUUAUGGGGCCGGACAUGGUGGCAGCCUUGAAAAAUCACCUUUCACACCGCCUAGAGUUCUCUUAUUUUUUGUGGCCGCCGAUGCUCUGCAGUCCCUUGAAGUUCCAGCCCAGAGGAUGGGAGAAGAGACGAACUCACAAAGUACCAAUCUCCCGAAGAAUAGCACAAAGCCCAUGGAUAAUAGCCCAAUGGAGCUGUUGGGCAUGCCAUCGCUACGAAAAAAAAAGAGGAAAAGAUACAUACUGAUACAAAAAAAAAAAACUAAAGGCUAAGCGAGGUAAAAAAAGAUAAUUAACUUUUUUUUCUUUUAGCACUAAGUAUGCCAAAGAGGAAGCACUAACAACAGCAACAGCAACGGCAAGAAAUUACAACACAUUACAAUGGAUGGGGGUUCGGCAAGUGUGAGAGAGUUCCCUUGAGUCGGCGUCGUCGUCGGCGCUAGCCAUCUCUUUCUCGGCCCUUAUGUUUGCUGAAAUUUCUGCACUCCACCGCCGGGCGAGAAUCAAAUAAAUUCCGGCACAAAACUCUUUUUCCCUGCUGGCCAAGUUCCGCUCGAGCUAACUUAUGCGGAAAAAGGGGCUUUUUUUUAAUGAUGACGCUUCCUGUUUGCCGGCCGCACAUAUACUUAUACUUAUACUUAUGAGACACCUUGAGCGUUGAUAUCUUCCAGACGAGAAGCUUCAAUUGAAAUUUGUACUUAAUUAAGCCUGGUAUGGCGCAUCGGCUUUCCUUUGAUCGGCGGUUGGGAAGGCAUUCUGGGAAUUCGUCAAGUUGGCGAUACCAGCGAGCAAUUAUUCACUUAAGAUUAAAACAAUUUUUUAAA